UUCAGUCUUUCUUCAUUCCUUGUUAAUUCAUCGAUCAAUUCUCUUAUCGUGAGAUAUCGCUUGGUAUUUUCCUUAACGUGCAAUUUUCUGUAAUUGAAAUAUCGAAGCCUUUGUUAACACGUUGACUGCCACGCGACUUUUGCAUAAUAUCUGAUUUGGCCUGGAACCUCAAUCGAUUCAAAUAUACUAUUGGGUUGGCAACUAAGUGAUUGUGGUUUACUACCUAAUGACAAAAUCCAAAAAAUUGUAAUAUUUAAUUUUUGCGAAAUAUUAUAUUUGCAUAUUUUAUCUUCGAAGAUAUUAUGUAAAGAUCAUUCAAAUCGUUAAAAUACACAUUAUUCUUCAGUCCACGAAAUUUCUCUCAUACUAAUUAUUCUAAGAAAUUUAGUAAAACAAUAUGGGUCAUCGAGAACCAUCGUGACAGUUGGCGUGUUCAUUUUUCCGAUUCGAGCAAGAAAAGAUUGGCGAGUUGUCCAGGUUUAGAUUACCGCAAACUCGACAUAAUUCGAAGAGAUCUUAUUUGUCGCGAGUUAACCAGUCGGCUGACUAGUAAGCAAAACAGUUGCACGAAUCGUUGUACGGUUCAGUAGAGUCGCUACACGACACGGUAAUUGACUGCUAAUUAUCCCGACUCUGAAAAUAGAUUUUCUUACAAUGAAGUCGAAGAGUAACGAGGUGAGAUUUCGUGGAAUCCCUAUAGCUACCUCAUCCUCGCUAAUAACUUAUGCAAGCAUGGUGGCUCGAUUAUAAAUUGUGGAAAGAAAAGGGGAAAACAGGAAAGAGAACCGAGAAUGGGAAAAUCCUUAACACUAGAACUACCAGUCUGCAAAUACCUAUCUAAAUAUUCUAUGUACAAAUCAUUGUAAUUCAAAUGGUGUCAUUUAAAAUCAAUAGAUCUGUGUAAUUAUGUCUUCAUCUAAGUAAAAAACAAUAUUAAUUUUGUCUAAAAUACCUACAUAUAUGCUUUUAGUAAUUUUAAGAAAAUAGAACUGGAAAUUUGUCAUUUUGCUAGCUUCGAUAGUUCCAGUGUUAACUACACGUGAUCGAUCGGCUGUGCUAAUAAUAUCGCGUGCGAAGAUACGAAAUAAAGGGAAAAGUAGGUGAAAGUUGAACCGUGCUGCUCGCAUGCGCUAUUGUUUCUUUUCUAUAUCCGAAUCGUGGAGAUAGUCGUCGCGCGUUGCUUAAAUAAUUGAACUAGUAGAGAGUGAGUGAGUGAGUGAGCGAGAAAGAGAAAGAGAGAGAGAGAGAGAGAGAAACUUAAACUAGAAUUGAAAUCAUAUCGAUUAUUAUGAGCACGCCCUUUAAGAAUGUAACUAGAUACAAAGAAAAUGAAAUAACGUUUUCCAACAUUUACGAAAUAAUUUGCGAAACAUCAUAUGUUUUUGCUCAACGUUUAUUCUUGUGUACGGUGUUGCGUUUCCCCGCGAACGAGUAGAAAGGAUUAAACACGGCAUAUGCUGGAACUAGGUCGUUGGUUACGGAUCAAGGCUGCGUAAUUGAGGCAUGUUUUUUGCUGGCUUGCAAAGAACAAAAAAAUAAUGCCGGGGAACAAAGAUUGCCAGUGAUUUCCUACAGUUGUAGUGAUCAGUCAUUCAAUACUUGGAGUUGAUUUGUAUGUAGUUGUAAAACGAUCUGUAAAUUUAUUGCAACAGGCAUUUUCGGUUUCGUUAUUUCGUACUCUGACUUUGAGUGACUUUGUUUCUUGUGGGGAUCAUCGUUAAAAUAUCAUUAAAAUGAUAAUAAUUAACAAUUGGAAAAAAUUUAUAGUAAUUAAACACUCGUCUUUCUUUAUACAUCGCGAUUCCUUGUUCCUUUCGUAUAUCGUUUUUUAUGAGGAAUACAAGGAUAUUGUAUUCUACGUUGCAAAAUGUAUACCCGCUUUAGCGUAAUUUCAAUUCUUCUCAAAAAGCACUCAAAAUAGAAAGAUUCCUCUGUAUCUCUAUCUCUCGAACAAUAUACUACUAUUAUUUUCCUUUAAUGAUAUUUUUCUACGAAAUUAGACGAUUUUGCUUUAUUUAUGGAUACUCCAUUUUAUUCCCGAAGAGAGUAAAAGAAUCAAGUUCAGAAGUAUCGGAGAACCUUAGCCAGACGAAUUGGAGAAUCUAGUCCGGGAGGACGUACGAGUUCGAAUCUAUAAAAAUCCAACAAUCCAAUAGUAGAACCGAAAGAUUCGAGCUUAAAGUAAUGAAAAAAUCCAAGCUUAUUCGAGAAGAAAUUCAGGACGUUGAUUGUCAACGCGAUUUUUACAUAUUAGUUGAAUAAACGGCGGUCAACGUAUCGAAGCUCCGUAGAAACAGGAAGCGAAGAGGAAGAGAAACCGCUGCAAGCGUCGCUGUUCUAUCGAUCAGCAUGCCACGAUACCUCACAGAACGAUACUUCACCUUAUAAAACUCCCUAUUCGCGCCCACGAUUCUUUCCCCUCACGUAUCUACACCUCUUAGGCUUUUACGUCAUGCUCAUUCAGCGGAUAAAAAGCUGGAGGAUACACACGUGCAGUUUCUGUAGCUUAAACAAACCGCUUUUUCAGUCUACCGCCUUUCACGUCGCUGUAGUUUAGCCGGUGCAUGUUUGAAGAGCGUCUGGAAUGGCGAUUGACGCACGGAGUCGAAGAAAACCAUGAUGUUUGCCGGAAACGGCCAUGAUUUACUUAACAAUCAUAUACUGUAUGUUAUGCUCUUUGGAUUGCUUCCUUGGAGGGAUUGAAAAAGCAACGUCGAAGUCUAAGAACACGUCGUGAGUUUCCAGAAAAUAAAACAUCUUACGGCGAUUAUUCCGAAGAAACCGGUUCUGUGCACGAUUAAUAACUCAAACGAUGAUUCUUCAAGGUCUAGGUCGAUAGUUCCAACUUUCCACUUCAUUGUCUACACUGGACUAGAGAUUUAUCUCUUCUCGAGUCGUUUCAAGCCCACGUACUAAAUAAUAACGGAAAAAAAUUAUCCUAAAAUACACAUAAUCUGUAUUUGUAAAAAAAAACUAAAAUAUACAUAUAUCUUUAAUUAUUA